rnacentral:rRNA from 1 species
CGUAACACGUAGGCAACCUGCCCGAAAUGGGGGACAACAGCUUGAAAGAGCUGCUAAUACCGCAUGUGGCCAAAGAGUGGCAUCACUUUUUGUCUAAAGCUUUAUGCGCUUUCGGAUGGGCUUGCGGCCUAUCAGGUAGUUGGUGGGGUAAUGGCCUACCAAGCCGACGACGGGUAGCUGGUCUGAGAGGACGAUCAGCCGGAUUGGGACUGAGAUACGGCCCAG